GAUCAUGGCUCAGAUUGAACGCUGGCGGCAUGCCUUACACAUGCAAGUCGAACGGCGGCACGGGAGCUUGCUCCUGGUGGCGAGUGGCGAACGGGUGAGUAAUACAUCGGAACGUACCCUGAAGUGGGGGAUAACGUAGCGAAAGUUACGCUAAUACCGCAUAUUCUGUGAGCAGGAAAGAGGGGGAUCGCAAGACCUCUUGCUUUAGGAGCGGCCGAUGUCGGAUUAGCUAGUUGGUGAGGUAAAGGCUCACCAAGGCGACGAUCCGUAGCGGGUCUGAGAGGAUGAUCCGCCACACUGGGACUGAGACACGGCCCAGACUCCUACGGGAGGCAGCAGUGGGGAAUUUUGGACAAUGGGCGCAAGCCUGAUCCAGCCAUGCCGCGUGAGUGAAGAAGGCCUUCGGGUUGUAAAGCUCUUUCGGUGGGGAAGAAAUUGCACAGGAUAAUACCUUGUGUAGAUGACGGUACCCGCAUAAGAAGCACCGGCUAACUACGUG
rnacentral:rRNA from 1 species